rnacentral:rRNA from 1 species
GAUGAACGCUGGCGGCGUGCCUAAUACAUGCAAGUCGAGCGAACAGACGAGGAGCUUGCUCCUCUGACGUUAGCGGCGGACGGGUGAGUAACACGUGGAUAACCUACCUAUAAGACUGGGAUAACUUCGGGAAACCGGAGCUAAUACCGGAUAAUAUAUUGAACCGCAUGGUUCAAUAGUGAAAGACGGUUUUGCUGUCACUUAUAGAUGGAUCCGCGCCGCAUUAGCUAGUUGGUAAGGUAACGGCUUACCAAGGCAACGAUGCGUAGCCGACCUGAGAGGGUGAUCGGCCACACUGGAACUGAGACACGGUCCAGACUCCUACGGGAGGCAGCAGUAGGGAAUCUUCCGCAAUGGGCGAAAGCUUGACGGAGCAACGCCGCGUGAGUGAUGAAGGUCUUCGGAUCGUAAAACUCUGUUAUUAGGGAAGAACAAAUGUGUAAGUAACGAUGCACGUCUUGACGGUACCUAUCAGAAAGCCACGGCUAACUACGUG